rnacentral:lncRNA from 1 species
AGGGUUCCUGCUCACGUUUUUGGCUUCUUGUUGCUCUGGUUUCCAGGUACCAGAUGUGACAUCCAGAUGACCCAGUCUCCAUCCUCCUUAUCUGCCUCUCUGGGAGAAAGAGUCAGUCUCACUUGUCGGGCAAGUCAGGAAAUUAGUGGUUACUUAAGCUGGCUUCAGCAGAAACCAGAUGGAACUAUUAAACGCCUGAUCUACGCCGCAUCCACUUUAGAUUCUGGUGUCCCAAAAAGGUUCAGUGGCAGUAGGUCUGGGUCAGAUUAUUCUCUCACCAUCAGCAGCCUUGAGUCUGAAGAUUUUGCAGACUAUUACUGUCUACAAUAUGCUAGU